rnacentral:rRNA from 1 species
AUGCACGCUGGCGGCGUGCCUCAUACCUGCAAGUCGCGCGCACGGACGAGAAGCUUGCUUUUCUGAUGUUAGCGGCGGACGGGUGAGUAACACGUGGAUAACCUACCUAUAAGACUGGGAUAACUUCGGGAAACCGGAGCUAAUACCGGAUAAUAUUUUGAACCGCAUGGUUCAAAAGUGAAAGACGGUCUUGCUGUCACUUAUAGAUGGAUCCGCGCUGCAUUAGCUAGUUGGUAAGGUAACGGCUUACCAAGGCAACGAUGCAUAGCCGACCUGAGAGGGUGAUCGGCCACACUGGAACUGAGACACGGUCCAGACUCCUACGGGAGGCAGCAGUAGGGAAUCUUCCGCAAUGGGCGAAAGCCUGACGGAGCAACGCCGCGUGAGUGAUGAAGGUCUUCGGAUCGUAAAACUCUGUUAUUAGGGAAGAACAUAUGUGUAAGUAACUGUGCACAUCUUGACGGUACCUAAUCAGAAAGCCACGGCUAACUACGUG